UACGAAGGGGGCUAGCGUUACUCGGAUUGACUGGGCGUAAAGGGCGCGUAGGCGGUUUGUACAGUCAGACGUGAAAUUCCUGGGCUCAACCUGGGGGCUGCGUUUGAUACGUGCGGACUUGAGUUCGGAAGAGGGUCGUGGAAUUCCCAGUGUAGAGGUGAAAUUCGUAGAUAUUGGGAAGAACACCGGUGGCGAAGGCGGCGACCUGGUCCGAUACUGACGCUGAGACGCGAAAGCGUGGGGAGCGAACAGG
rnacentral:rRNA from 1 species